rnacentral:lncRNA from 1 species
AUCCAUCCAAACUGCUGGAUUAUACAUAGAUUUAUAUAUUAUAUAUAUAUUUGUAGUAUGUAUAAUUUUUAUAUAUAUAUAUAUUUAAAUUUAAAUAUUUAGUGCAUCUAUAGUUUAGUUUUUUGGGGGGUUGGGGGGGUUGGGUUUUUGUUUGUUUGUUUCUUGUUUUUUUCUUUGAGACAGAGUUUCACUCUUGUUACCUAGGCUGGAGUGCAAUGGCAUAAUCUUGGCUCACUGCAACCUCUGCCUCCUGGGUUCAAGAGAUUCUCCUGCCUCAACCUCCCGAGUAGCUGAGAUUGCAGGCAUGCGCCAUCACACUCGGUUAAUUUUUUUUUUUUUUUUUUUUUUUUUUAUUAAAGACAGGGUUUCUCCAUGUUGAUCAGGCUGGUCUUGGACUCCCAACCUCAGGUGAUCCGCUGGCCUUGGCCUUCCAAAGUUCUGGGAUUACAGGCGUGAGCCACUGUGCCCGGCCCAUAGUGUAGUUUUUAGUGUGAAAUAAAAUCCAGUUUUACUUUCUUUCUUAAAGAUUGACAAUUGUGCUGAUUAAUUAAAAACCAUUUUCUACCACUCCAGGUGAAUCAGAAAGUGAUUAUUUUAUCAAAGUAAGUCAAUGGCUCCUACCUUGGGCUUUCGAAAUGACCAGUAACUAAACAGGAUUUUUUAGAAGUACUAUUACAUUUGUUUAUUAUAACUUAUAAAGAAGAUUUAAAUCUUUGCAUUUUAUCAGUCAUUUCACAAGUACCUGUUUAUUCUGAUGUUUCCUUUAUCUGCUCAAAGUCUACUUUAGAAAUUUAAGAUAUUUUGGAAGCAUUGAUGGCUACUGAGCAUGGGAACUGAGAAAGUGUCUCAAGAACCUAAUUUCUGUACACUUCUAAAGACUUUCAUUAAAUACAAGAGUCUGAUUCCUUGGAAACAACAUCAAGACAAAGCCAUUCAAUUUUUAAUCACAGGUGAUAUAAAUCAUUAUGUCAGUUAACUCUAGGGUCCAUAAAUCUCUAAAAUGCAAAUUUAUGACAUAGGGGUGUAAUUUACCAGUAUUGGCUUUUUAAAUUCAAUUAGCAUGAUGAGAUAUGAUAGAACUGAUCUUUCAAUGCUGCUUGCAACCACACCAAAAAUAGAGGCUCUCAAGCUGGCAGUCUGUUAGUAUAUUAAGUAUCAGCUUCACGUUUUUCCUGUUCAGACUAAUUGCUUCCUUAAUCUGUGAUUGCUGACACAUGUGCAGUUGUGCAAGUUAAUGGGAAGAAAAAUGGUUCUGAUACUCUUUGGUUUUAUUAUACUCUGUUUUUAAUUGUCUUCAC